rnacentral:lncRNA from 1 species
AGAUGUUGUUCUUUAUGAGGACCAGUGGAUUGGUGAGACAGUACUCCAAUCAACACUUACCAGUCAGUUACUGAAUCUGGGAAGUUACUCAUAUGUCCAGCCCGAAAAAUAUUCCAAUAUAAUUGCCAAUGUUAUACUUCAGGAUUUACUGACAUAUGUGUCUUCAAAACAUUCCUAUCUCAAAGAUCUGCCUCAGAGGCAGCCUCAGAAAAUCAACACCGUAAAGUUUGUGGAAUUGGAGCAGUUGCAGCCUGAUACAUUAGUCCAUGCAGUGCUCAGAGUAGUGAACAUCACUGUAUUGACAGAGGCAUUAUAUAGUUACAGAGGACAAAAGCAAA